rnacentral:sRNA from 1 species
UAACAAAUUAAUUCAGGCAUGCUAUGGCUUUAUUGUCCAUUUCAUGUUGUUAAGCCACAACAAAAUUAUAUUAAAUCCGAGAGAUUAAAAUACCCAGUUAUUUCAUAACUUAUAGAUUAAGACAUUAUCACACAUACUUGUCAGCAAGUAGUCGAAGUCAGACAUGUAAUACCCGUAAAAAUAUUUUCAGACGCCGUUGACAAAAGUCGGGCGAGCUGUUAAUCGUAGCAUAACGGCUGAUUGUCCUUGAAGUGGCUAACGGCCGAAUACCGCCGCCUGGAUUUCUUAACAUGGCCAAGUCUCACAGCAAUUUCGAGUAUCUCCCUUAUCGCCCUUUUGAUUCGACGACGAUUCUUCUGUGGGAGAUUGGAAAAAGUGAUGAGCUCCUGAAUGGUGACCGGUUGAUUGAUUCUCUUAAGGGUGCGAACCAGCUUUCCAAUUACAUGAAUUUUGAAAACAAUUCUGUCUGACAUAUGAAUUGAAAUCGGCUGGCUUGCUACAUGUGGUUGUUUUCAAAAUUUUGCAGCACGCAUGUAAAAAAUGAUCAAUUUUACUUGAAUGAGUACAUUAUGAAUCUAUGAUCUUGAAAGUCCACAAAUUAAUCCUGUUAAUUGGAAGAAUUUAUGAUAUUAGCCUGUCAUAUAAGCAUAAUAAAAGCAUAUAGAAAAAACUGUCAAA